CCUACGGGAGGCAGCAGUGAGGAAUAUUGGUCAAUGGACGCAAGUCUGAACCAGCCAUGCCGCGUGCAGGAAGACGGCUCUAUGAGUUGUAAACUGCGUUUGUACGAGGGAAAACGCAGAUAAGCGUCUCUGUCUGCAAGUAUCGUACGAAUAAGGAUCGGCUAACUCCGUGCCAGCAGCGGCGGUAAUACGGAGGAUUCAAGCGUUAUCCGGAUUUAUUGGGUUGAAAGGGUGCGUAGGCGGUCGGAUAAGUUAGAGGUGAAAUCCCGAGGCUCAACUUCGGAAUUGCCUCUGAUACUGUUCGGCUAGAGAGUAGUUGCGGUAGGCGGAAUGUAUGGUGUAGCGGUGAAAUGCGUAGAGAUCAUACAGAACACC
rnacentral:rRNA from 1 species